AGUGAACGCUGGCGGUAGGCCUAACACAUGCAAGUCGAACGGCAGCACAGUAAGAGCUUGCUCUUACGGGUGGCGAGUGGCGGACGGGUGAGGAAUACAUCGGAAUCUACUUUUUCGUGGGGGAUAACGUAGGGAAACUUACGCUAAUACCGCAUACGACCUACGGGUGAAAGCAUGGGAUCUUCGGACCUUGCGCGAUUGAAUGAGCCGAUGUCGGAUUAGCUAGUUGGCGGGGUAAAGGCCCACCAAGGCGACGAUCCGUAGCUGGUCUGAGAGGCUGAUCAGCCACACUGGAACUGAGACACGGUCCAGACUCCUACGGGAGGCAGCAGUGGGGAAUAUUGGACAAUGGGCGCAAGCCUGAUCCAGCCAUACCGCGUGGGUGAAGAAGGCCUUCGGGUUGUAAAGCCCUUUUGUUGGGAAAGAAAAGCAGCAGGUUAAUACCCCGCUGUUCUGACGGUACCCAAAGAAUAAGCACCGGCUAACUUCGUG
rnacentral:rRNA from 1 species